GCCAGACUCAAUUGUGAGAAAUCUAGCUCUCACCAUCUAGAAAAAAAAAUAUAUCUGGUUUUAGAGAGAAAGGACCCGGGAAUAUAAUUUAUUUAAAUAUAUCUUGUUAAUUUAUUUAAGUAAGAAACCCCAAAGUUCCCCGGUCAUGCUUUGAGAACCGUCGUUGCUCAGUGUUUCAAUGGAGGGAGAUCGAUUAAGUAUCUCCAGCCUCGCGCUUUCUCCUCACAGUCUAGCAACAAUGAGUUGAAGGGGGCAAAGAGUGAAAGUUCUCGGAUUCUUAUCUUUUUUUUAACAGUAUCAUGUGUGGGAUAUGAAAUUGUAAAAUAAUACGAGAAAGGAAAUUGAGAAGAUGGACCACGACUUCGAGGUGGCUCAAGAAAUUGCAGCCAAGGAGGGGAAACAAUUGAAGGGAAUAGAGUUGGAAGUUCGAUAUUUCGGAAAGAGAACUGACUCUGGAUUAUUAUGAUUACAAAGAUGGGGAAAUAGUGUUUUAUCAAUUCAUAAAUAAUAAAUUUUAUUCCAAGAGAAACUAGCCAUUGUGUAGGAACCAGAAAUAAAUAAUUUGGCUUUGGUUUGUGUUCAAAUGUAACGCAACUAUAGAAUCAUGUUAUUAUUAAUAUAGAAUCUCCUUCUUGCGAUUCUGUAGAUUGAUAAUGUAUUGAAGGGCACUGAAAUAUCUAAGUACUAUUCAUCA